AGUGAACGCUGGCGGUAGGCCUAACACAUGCAAGUCGAACGGCAGCACAGUAAGAGCUUGCUCUUACGGGUGGCGAGUGGCGGACGGGUGAGGAAUACAUCGGAAUCUACUUUUUCGUGGGGGAUAACGUAGGGAAACUGACGCUAAUACCGCAUACGACCUACGGGUGAAAGCAGGGGAUCUUCGGACCUUUCGCGAUUGAAUGAGCCGAUGUCGGAUUAGCUAGUUGGCGGGGUAAAGGCCCACCAAGGCGACGAUCCGUAGCUGGUCUGAGAGGAUGAUCAGCCACACUGGAACUGAGACACGGUCCAGACUCCUACGGGAGGCAGCAGUGGGGAAUAUUGGACAAUGGGCGCAAGCCUGAUCCAGCCAUACCGCGUGGGUGAAGAAGGCCUUCGGGUUGUAAAGCCCUUUUGUUGGGAAAGAAAAGCAGCAGGUUAAUCCCCCGCUGUUCUGACGGUACCCAAAGAAUAAGCACCGGCUAACUUCGUG
rnacentral:rRNA from 1 species